rnacentral:tRNA from 1 species
GGAGAGGUGCCAGAGCGGUUGAAUGGAACAGUCUUGAAAACUGUCGUCCGUAUAAGCGGACCGCGGGUUCGAAUCCCGCCCUCUCCGC